rnacentral:rRNA from 1 species
UACGGGGGGGGCAAGCGUUGUUCGGAAUUACUGGGCGUAAAGGGCGCGUAGGUGGCCUUCUAAGUCGAACGUGAAAUCCCUGGGCUCAACCCAGGAACUGCGUCCGAUACUGGAAGGCUUGAAUCCGGGAGAGGGAUGCGGAAUUCCAGGUGUAGCGGUGAAAUGCGUAGAUAUCUGGAGGAACACCGGUGGCGAAGGCGGCAUCCUGGACCGGCAUUGACGCUGAGGCGCGAAAGCUAGGGGAGCAAACGGG